rnacentral:rRNA from 1 species
CAAACUAGAGAUGGCGACCGGCGCACGGGUGAGUAACACGUAUCCAACCUGCCGAUAACUCGGGGAUAGCCUUUCGAAAGAAAGAUUAAUAUCCGAUAGCAUAUAUUUCCCGCAUGGGUUUUAUAUUAAAGAAAUUCGGUAUGAGAUGGGGAUGCGUUCCAUUAGUUUGUUGGGGGGGUAACGGCCCACCAAGACUACGAUGGAUAGGGGUUCUGAGAGGAAGGUCCCCCACAUUGGAACUGAGACACGGUCCAA